CGCCUUGCCAGCCGCUCAGAACUUAAAGGAAGUUGACGGGGGCCCGCACAAGCGGAGGAACAUGUGGUUUAAUUCGAUGAUACGCGAGGAACCUUACCGGGCUUGAAAUGCAUCUGACCGGCCUUGAAAGAGGUUUUCCCUUCGGGGCAGAUGUGUAGGUGCUGCAUGGUUGUCGUCAGCUCGUGCCGUGAGGUGUCGGCUUAAGUGCCAUAACGAGCGCAACCCUCAUCAUUAGUUACCAUCAGGUAAGGCUGGGGACUCUAAUGAGACUGCCAUCGUAAGAUGUGAGGAAGGUGGGGAUGACGUCAAAUCAGCACGGCCCUUACGUCCGGGGCGACACACGUGUUACAAUGGGUGGUACAAAGGGCAGCUACCUGGCGACAGGAUGCUAAUCUCCAAAACCACUCUCAGUUCGGAUCGGAGUCUGCAACUCGACUUCAUGAAGCUGGAAUCGCUAGUAAUCGUGGAUCAGCCAAGCCGCGGUGAAUACGUUCCCGGGCCUU
rnacentral:rRNA from 1 species